rnacentral:rRNA from 1 species
AUACGGAGGGUGCGAGCGUUACUCGGAGUCACUGGGCGUAAAGCGUCCGUAGGCGGUCGGGUAAGUCGGGUGUGAAAGCCCCGGGCUCAACCUGGGAAGUGCACCCGAUACUGCUCGACUCGAGUGCGGGAGAGGAUGGCGGAAUUCCCGGUGUAGCGGUGAAAUGCGUAGAGAUCGGGAGGAACACCAGUGGCGAAGGCGGCCAUCUGGCCCGCAACUGACGCUGAGGGACGAAAGCGUGGGGAGCGAACCGGAGUAGAAACCCUUGUAGUCC